GGCAAGCUCCGAUCUUUCUCGGCGAGCUCCGCGAACUCCCAACGAACCUUCCGGCGAGCUUCCGAAAAACCCUUCGGUAAGCUCCCAACUCAUUCUCGGCUAGUUCCGGUAGCAUUCCCGACGAACCUUCGGACUUCUGUCGAACUCUCGAACUCGCAACAAAUCCUUCGCGCUUGACUCCGACACUUUGUUUCGCUUUAUG
rnacentral:lncRNA from 1 species